rnacentral:tRNA from 1 species
GCUACCAUGGCGAAAUAGGCAGUACGCUUCGGUCUUAAAAACCGAUGUCGAAAGACGUGCGGGUUCGACCCCCGCUGGUAGCA